GGGUUGUGAGGUUAAGCGACUAAGCGUACACGGUGGAUGCCCUGGCAGUCAGAGGCGAUGAAGGACGUGCUAAUCUGCGAUAAGCGUCGGUAAGGUGAUAUGAACCGUUAUAACCGGCGAUUUCCGAAUGGGGAAACCCAGUGUGUUUCGACACACUAUCAUUAACUGAAUCCAUAGGUUAAUGAGGCGAACCGGGGGAACUGAAACAUCUAAGUACCCCGAGGAAAAGAAAUCAACCGAGAUUCCCCCAGUAGCGGCGAGCGAACGGGGAGCAGCCCAGAGCCUGAAUCAGUGUGUGUGUUAGUGGAAGCGUCUGGAAAGGCGCGCGAUACAGGGUGACAGCCCCGUACACAAAAAUGCACAUGCUGUGAGCUCGAUGAGUAGGGCGGGACACGUGGUAUCCUGUCUGAAUAUGGGGGGACCAUCCUCCAAGGCUAAAUACUCCUGACUGACCGAUAGUGAACCAGUACCGUGAGGGAAAGGCGAAAAGAACCCCGGCGAGGGGAGUGAAAAAGAACCUGAAACCGUGUACGUACAAGCAGUGGGAGCACAGAGCAAUCUGUGUGACUGCGUACCUUUUGUAUAAUGGGUCAGCGACUUAUAUUCUG
rnacentral:rRNA from 1 species